GCUGUCUCAGUUUCGAAUAUUGUUGAAGAAUGUUUCUACAUAUCAAGUUUAUCAUGUUUAAGAAAAAUAUGAACAGCUAAGCACUAAAUAUGGAAUCAA